CCAAGACACCUGCCACUAAACAACUGGCACUCAUUUGCCACUGGAUAGCAUACUUUUUAAAUUGACCUGGAACAUAUUAAAUGAACUAAAUGGAGUGCAUUAGCUACAAAUGAUGCCAACUAAGAAAUAGAAAUACAGUGUGGAGGCAUCAACUAUGGCCAAUAUUCCAAGAUAUAUCCCCAUAAAAAAGUCUGCCAUGGCCAAGUUACAAAUCAGAAACCUUGGCACAUCCAUCUUGGAUUUACUUGUCACAGAGACAAAGAAAACGACUCCAUUACCCAGUAGUGCCAGCAUAAAAACAAACCACACGCCACAACGCAAGGACCACCAUCCAAAGAGGUCAUCACAUGGCAUGAAUGGACCUUCAAUGCUUCUUUGAUAGCUAUUUAUGUAUACGUAAUAGGCCCUACUUAAAAGCUUAUUAAAUCUAUUGAACCAGCCAAGAAAACCAACAGUGCCUAUGUACAGCUUAAAAUGAAUGAGAACUAUGAACCCCUUGAAUAACAAGCAGAUAUAGUUUUUUUUUUUUGAAGGAACAUCUAUAAUAUAUAAAGUAAGAAAGAGAUUGUGAAAUGAAAUAUAAAAUAGAGGCCAUAAAACCAAGAAAAGAAAAGGAUUCAGUAAAAUCUGGUGAAAGCAGGAUAUUAGGGAAAAAAUGCUGUAAGCUCAGAUCAAUUAAUGAAAUUGCUUGAAAAAAUAUUACUAAUAGAAUUAUUAUAAUACUCAUAUAUUGCAUUUGCCAUUGUGUGUACAAAUACAAAGAUAUCCAUAAUUAAAAUUUACAAUAUCUUGAUUUCAAACCCCACAUAUACACAGGUAAUGAUUAACCUAUGACCUAUUCAGCUUACUAUCAUUAGAAUUUAGCUCACAAUUGCAAGUAAGACUGUGUACAAGUUUAUAUUUUAUAUAUUUUGAAAUGUUUUCUCAUUAGGAAAAUGUUUCCUUUAAUACUUUUUAUGCAUGUAUUUUUGGCAUGUAUUGUAAGUUGUAAUUUUUUUUUUAGCUUUUAAAUAUUAAAAUAUUAUAAUGGGAAUAAAGUGUUUUACUUAAAUUUUGACAAAUGUAAAACUAAGAAACUAAAUGCUGUAGAAAUGCUAUAAAUGUCAUACAAGGAGUAAAAUUUGUGAUAUUUAACAUUGAUACAAGAAAUUUAUUUUUAUAUUAAAGCACUAGCGGAUCCACAACUUUGGAGUGGGGUGGGGGUAUUUUUUUCCAAACCUUAACCCU